rnacentral:rRNA from 1 species
UGGGGAAUAUUGCACAAUGGGGGAAACCCUGAUGCAGCGACGCCGCGUGAACGAAGAAGGUAUUCGUAUCGUAAAGUUCUGUCCUAUGGGAAGAUAAUGACAGUACCAUAGAAGAAAGCUCCGGCUAAAUACGUGCCAGCAGCCGCGGUAAUACGUAUGGAGCGAGCGUUGUCCGGAAUUAUUGGGCGUAAAGGGUACGCAGGCGGUUUAAUAAGUCGAAUGUUAAAGAUCGGGGCUCAACCCCGCAAAGCAUUGGAAACUGAUAAACUUGAGUAGUGGAGAGGAAAGUGGAAUUCCUAGUGUAGUGGUGAAAUACGUAGAUAUUAGGAGGAAUACCAGUAGCGAAGGCGACUUGCUGGACACAAACUGACGCUGAGGUACGAAAGCGUGGGGAGCAAACAGG